AUUGAACGCUGGCGGCAUGCUUUACACAUGCAAGUCGAGCGGCAGCGCGGGGGCAACCCUGGCGGCGAGCGGCGAACGGGUGAGUAAUGCAUCGGAACGUAUCCUCGAGUGGGGGAUAACCCAGCGAAAGUUGGGCUAAUACCGCAUGAGCUCUGAGGAGGAAAGCGGGGGACCUGCGAGGGCCUCGCGCUGGAGGAGCGGCCGAUGUCGGAUUAGCUAGUUGGUGGGGUAAAGGCUUACCAAGGCGACGAUCGGUAGCUGGUCUGAGAGGAUGAUCAGCGACACUGGGACUGAGACACGGACCAGACUCCUACGGGAGGCAGCAGUGGGGAAUGGUGGACAAUGGGGGCAACCCUGAUCCAGCCAUGCCGCGUGAGUGAAGAAGGCCUUCGGGUUGUAAAGCUCUUUCGGACGGAACGAAAUGGGCGGGACUAAUACUCCUGUCUGAUGACGGUACCGUAAGAAGAAGCACCGGCUAACUACGUG
rnacentral:rRNA from 1 species